GAAAUUAUAGUUAAAUUAUAGAUAUAAUAUUACAUUGUCAAUGUAAAGAUAUGAGUUUGAAUCUCAUUAAUUUCG
rfam:Babesia microti strain RI apicoplast complete genome